ACUGCAGCAACAACAACAGCUGCUGCCGCUGCCACUCCCCUCGUUGUUACUGCGUGUGCUAGGCGUUGAGGAGUGUCUCUCUCUACUCCACUCCGUCGGACCUCCUUGUUGUUCUUUUAUUUUCCGUUGAAUCUAGCACUCCACCUCCUGUACCGUUUCGUGUCUUCCAUUCCUGUCGGCUGUGAUCGCAGCACGCGCGUAGCGGUCAUUGGCGGUUGAGUAGAACAUCCUCAACUCAAAGAGACGCUUCGUCGCUGCAGAUACGUAUGGACCUCUUCCCUACGCUGUUGCCCGGCGCCCUACUUCUUAGCUCCAUCAAAUAGCCCCCCCCCUCCCCCCUCUUGGAAGUAUGCUGCGCACGUCUCUCGUCGCACGCCGCACUGCUGCUGAGGCUACCGGGGCGCCGGUCUCGUACAGGCAUCAAGAGAAGAUUCGUCUCUACCGUAGCUUGCUGAAAGGGGCCCACGGCUUUCCGAUGCGCUCGCGCCGCGAUGUCAUUACCGAGGAGGUGCGGAGUACCUUCCGCGACCCGAACAACGAGAUGCUGAGUGAGAAGGACAUUGACUACCGACUCAUCCUUGGAUGGGAGCGGGCCAAGUCGAUCAAGACGUACGCGGAGAACAUGCACUGGUUUCACUCGCGCGACGAGGUGACGAAGGAGAUGAUGUACUUCUCCGAAGAGCGGGAUCGCAAGAAGGCGGCGGAGAUGCGCCGCUUCAACCAGGUCGGUGACAUCCGCUGCAAAACUGAGGAGGUGACGGAGUUCAAGUCGACCUACUACAACGUCCACCCCGAUUACCACUCCAAAAUUGGCCAGAAGCCGCUGACUCACUCACGGGACGUGUGGCGUGCACGCGGGCAGUACGGCUCGGACGUGGGUGGGCCGCGGCAGAAGUUUUUUGUGCGUCGCUUCAAGGCCAUGUUUCCUCAAGGCUGGUGAGUGGGUCAAAGGGGCGAGGCUGAGAGAGAGGGAGGGGAGAAGUGGCGAGGAGGUGGCGAGUUGAGCGUUGGGUCAGGGAAGGGGAGAGGGUGGCGCGGGAUGCGUGAGCUCGUGACGCUAGUUCUUGCUGAAUGUGCAGUAGCUGGAGGUGGGGGGGGCAUGCAUCGAGUGACGCACACGUCGUGGGUGUGUUCAUUGCGUUGUUUCAACCCUCCUCGCCCCCUGAGCCCCUCUCCAUGGACGCCCAACGCGCACUCCCUCUUGCUCGCUACUCUUGUUUUUUUUUGUUUGUUUCCUUACUGCUAUCUUCUGUAUCCCUCUCUCUCUUCGUGCGUGUGCCUGUGGUGAUGUGUCUGCGGAUGCCUGCGGCUCUCCCUCCCUCGAGUCCCGUGCUCGCGUACGUGCCUGGGUUUGUAUGUGGUGAGGGUAGACGCCCUUUUACAGCGCAUUGACUGGUGAUGAUUCGGCCCUCGUUGUCUGUCUCGCUGUCCCUUCCCCCUCCUCCUGAGAGCAGUGCGCCAAGCGCGUCGAAGAC
rnacentral:misc_RNA from 1 species